GGGGGUAUAGCUCCGUGGUAGAGCAUUUGACUGCAGAUCAAGAAGUCCCUGGUUCAAAUCCAGGUGCCCCCU
rnacentral:tRNA from 1 species